GACGAACGCUGGCGGCGUGCUUAACACAUGCAAGUCGAACGGAAAGGCCCUGCUUUUGUGGGGUGCUCGAGUGGCGAACGGGUGAGUAACACGUGAGUAACCUGCCCUUGACUUUGGGAUAACUUCAGGAAACUGGGGCUAAUACCGGAUAGGAGCUCCUGCUGCAUGGUGGGGGUUGGAAAGUUUCGGCGGUUGGGGAUGGACUCGCGGCUUAUCAGCUUGUUGGUGGGGUAGUGGCUUACCAAGGCUUUGACGGGUAGCCGGCCUGAGAGGGUGACCGGCCACAUAGGGACUGAGAUACGGCCCAGACUCCUACGGGAGGAAGCAGUGGGGAAUAUUGCACAAUGGGCGGAGGCCUGAUGCAGCAACGCCGCGUGCGGGAUGACGGCCUUCGGGUUGUAAACCGCUUUCGCCUGUGACGAAGCGUGAGUGACGGUAAUGGGUAAAGAAGCACCGGCUAACUACGG
rnacentral:rRNA from 1 species